rnacentral:rRNA from 1 species
GACGAACGCUGGCGGCGUGCUUAACACAUGCAAGUCGAACGGAAAGGCCCUGCUUGCAGGGUACUCGAGUGGCGAACGGGUGAGUAACACGUGGGUGAUCUGCCCUGCACUUCGGGAUAAGCCUGGGAAACUGGGUCUAAUACCGGAUAGGAGCCAUUUUUAGUGUGAUGGUUGGAAAGUUUUUUCGGUGUAGGAUGAGCUCGCGGCCUAUCAGCUUGUUGGUGGGGUAAUGGCCUACCAAGGCGGCGACGGGUAGCCGGCCUGAGGGGGUGGACGGCCACAAUGGGACUGAGAUACGGCCCAGACUCCUACGGGAGGCAGCAGUGGGGAAUAUUGCACAAUGGGCGCAAGCCUGAUGCAGCGACGCCGCGUGGGGGAUGACGGCCUUCGGGUUGUAAACUCCUUUCGCUAGGGACGAAGCUUUUUGUGACGGUACCUAGAUAAGAAGCACCGGCUAACUACGUG